rnacentral:rRNA from 1 species
AACGAACGCUGGCGGCAGGCCUAACACAUGCAAGUCGAACGCCGUAGCAAUACGGAGUGGCAGACGGGUGAAUAACGCGUGGGAACAUACCCCUCGGUUCGGAAUAACUCAGGGAAACUUGAGCUAAUACCGGAUACGUCCGAUGUUUUAAUCGACCUUGGAGAAAGAUUUAUCGCCGGAGGAUUGGCCCGCGUCUGAUUAGCUUGUUGGUGAGGUAAUGGCUCACCAAGGCGACGAUCAGUAGCUGGUCUGAGAGGAUGAUCAGCCACAUUGGGACUGAGACACGGCCCAAACUCCUACGGGAGGCAGCAGUGGGGAAUAUUGGACAAUGGGCGAAAGCCUGAUCCAGCCAUGCCGCGUGAGUGAUGAAGGCCUUAGGGUUGUAAAGCUCUUUAACCCGGGAAGAUAAUGACGGUACCGGGAGAAUAAGCCCCGGCUAACUUCGUGCCAGCCGCCGCAGUAA